AGAGAGGGCGGGCGUGCUAUACAUGCAAGUCGAGCGGAGUUGAUGAAGAGCUUGCUCCUCUGAGGCUUAGCGGCGGACGGGUGAGUAAUACGUAGGUAACCUGCCCUUAAGACCGGGAUAACUCACGGAAACGUGGGCUAAUACCGGAUAGGCGAUUUCCUCGCAUGAGGGAAUCGGGAAAGGCGGAGCAAUCUGCCACUUAUGGAUGGACCUACGGCGCAUUAGCUAGUUGGUGGGGUAACGGCUCACCAAGGCGACGAUGCGUAGCCGACCUGAGAGGGUGAUCGGCCACACUGGGACUGAGACACGGCCCAGACUCCUACGGGAGGCAGCAGUAGGGAAUCUUCCGCAAUGGACGCAAGUCUGACGGAGCAACGCCGCGUGAGUGAUGAAGGUUUUCGGAUCGUAAAGCUCUGUUGCCAGGGAAGAACGCUAUGGAGAGUAACUGUUCCAUAGGUGACGGUACCUGAGAAGAAAGCCCCGGCUAACUACGUGCCAGCAGCCGCGGUAAUACGUAGGGGGCAAGCGUUGUCCGGAAUUAUUGGGCGUAAAGCGCGCGCAGGCGGUCAUGUAAGUCUGGUGUUUAAACCCGGGGCUCAACUCC
rnacentral:rRNA from 1 species